GACAGAGGGUGCAAGCGUUGUUCGGAAUUACUGGGCGUAAAGCGCGUGUAGGCGGCUUGGCAAGUCGGGUGUGAAAGCCCUGGGCUCAACCUAGGAAGUGCACUCGAAACUGCUUCGCUUGAGUGUCGGAGAGGAAAGCGGAAUUCUCGGUGUAGAGGUGAAAUUCGUAGAUAUCGAGAGGAACACCGGUGGCGAAGGCGGCUUUCUGGACGAUAACUGACGCUGAGACGCGAAAGCGUGGGGAGCAAACAGG
rnacentral:rRNA from 1 species